UCCUCCAGACGUCCUCUGAUGGAGUCAGAACCAGCUUCCUGAUCGAUCUUUGUGAUUCUUUUCCAGAUGGAUGAACUAUACUUGACUUUUCACUUCUCAUCUCUCAUGGUGUUGGUGUUCCAUGUUUUCCUAACACAUGUCUGUGAAGGUCAGUCUGAACUGAUCGGUUCAUCUCAGCCAAUAGUAACAACUCUUGGUGAAGAUGUGGUUUUACCAUGUUACCUGCAGCCUGCUGAAGACGUCACUCACUUGACGUUGGAGUGGACGAGACCUGAUCUGGAGCCCAGAUUUGUUCACGUUUGGCGCUCCCAACAGGAACUUGUUGGUCAAAACCAUGAUUUGUUCACAGGGAGAACAUCUCUGUUCAUUGAUGAGCUGACAAAAGGAAACAUUUC